rnacentral:misc_RNA from 1 species
GAAAUGCGAUAAGUAGUGUGAAUUGCAGAAUUCAGUGAAUCAUCGAAUCUUUGAACGCACCUUGCGCUCCUUGGUAUUCCUUGGAGCAUGCCUGUCUGAGUAUCAUGAAAUCUUCAAAGUAAAUCUUUUGUUAACUCAAUUGGUUUCUACUUUGGUAUUGGAGGUCUUUGCAGCUUCACACCUGCUCCUCUUUGUUCAUUAGCUGGAUCUCAGUGUUAUGCUUGGUUCCACUCGGCGUGAUAAGUUAUCUAUCGCUGAGGACACUGUAAAAGGUGGCCAAGGUAAAUGCAGAUGAACCGCUUCUAAUAGUCCAUUGACUUGGACAAUACUUUUAUGAUCUGAUCUCAAAUCAGGUAGGACUACCCGCUGAACUUAAGCA